rnacentral:snRNA from 1 species
GGGUGUGAGGGCGACAUGGCUGCGACAUCUGUCACCCCGUUGAUAGGGUUGAUUCAGCUGAUCUGGCUGGCUAGGCUGGUGUCCCCUUCUUCCCUCACCGCUCCACAUCUAUGAACACUCGGUCAAAGAGGAUGACCUUCCCAAAUAGAGGAGGACUGGUCUUCAGUCAAGGGUAUAUGAGUAGCUGCGCUCCCCUGAUUGAACCUCCAAACAGGCUCUCAAGAAUCAUAGUGGAACCUAUCAUGAAGGACUGAGGAUUAUUUUGAUUAUUAUUAUGAGUUAUUUGUUCAU